UUGAUUGCUUUUUUUGUUUCAAUUUUUACUCUUUUUUUCCAUCUGCCCUUUUUUCUGUGUGAAUUUGUGUGUUCCGGACGUAAUUCAUAGCAAUACGACGAACAGUAUG
rnacentral:ribozyme from 14 species